rnacentral:rRNA from 1 species
UACGGGGGGGGGCAAGCGUUGUUCGGAAUUACUGGGCGUAAAGGGCGCGUAGGCGGCCUGCUAAGUCGGACGUGAAAUCCCUCGGCUCAACCGAGGAACUGCGUCCGAUACUGGUGGGCUUGAAUCCGGGAGAGGGAUGUGGAAUUCCAGGUGUAGCGGUGAAAAUGCGUAGAUAUCUGGAGGAACACCGGUGGCGAAGGCGGCAUCCUGGACCGGUAUUGACGCUGAGGCGCGAAAAGCUAGGGGGAGCAAACGGGG